UUAAAAUUGGCCAUAAACGGAGAUUAGAGGAAGAUGAUAUGUAUUCAGUGCUGCCAGAAGACCGCUCACAGCACCUUGGAGAGGAGUUGCAAGGGUUCUGGGAUAAAGAAGUUUUAAGAGCUGAGAAUGACGCACAGAAGCCUUCUUUAACAAGAGCAAUCAUAAAGUGUUACUGGAAAUCUUAUUUAGUUUUGGGCAUUUUUACGUUAAUUGAGGUAAAAGCUUUUACAUACCAUGAAUUGUUUUUCAGGACACAUAGAGUAAAUGUGCUCG
rnacentral:lncRNA from 1 species